rnacentral:rRNA from 1 species
UACGUAGGUGGCAAGCGUUGUCCGGAUUUAUUGGGUUUAAAGGGUGCGUAGGCGGCUUUGUAAGUCAGUGGUGAAAUAUGGCAGCUCAACUGUCAAGGUGCCAUUGAUACUGCAGAGCUUGAGUACAGAUGAGGUAGGCGGAAUUGACGGUGUGGCGGUGAAAUGCUUAGAUAUCGUCAAGAACACCUAUAGCGAAGGCAGCUUACUAGGCUGUAACUGACGCUGAGGCGCGAAAGCCAGGGGAGCAAACGGG